UGAGGAAUAUUGGUCAAUGGGCGGAAGCCUGAACCAGCCAUCCCGCGUGAAGGAAGACAGCCUUACGGGUUGUAAACUUCUUUUCUGUCAGAAGAAUAAGCUUGUCGAGACGAGUGAUGCCGGUAUGACAGGAAUAAGCAUCGGCUAACUCCGUGCCAGCAGCCGCGGUAAUACGGAGGAUGCAAGCGUUAUCCGGAUUUAUUGGGUUUAAAGGGUGCGCAGGUUGUUUGAUAAGUCAGUGGUGAAAGUCUGUCGCUUAACGGUAGGAUUGCCAUUGAUACUGUUGGACUUGAAUAUGGAUGAGGUAGGCGGAAUGUGUAGUGUAGCGGUGAAAUGCAUAGAUAUUACACAGAACACCGAUUGCGAAGGCAGCUUACUAAUCCAUCAUUGACGCUGAGGC
rnacentral:rRNA from 1 species